GAUGAACGCUAGCUACAGGCUUAACACAUGCAAGUCGAGGGGUAGCAGGGUAGCAAUACCGCUGACGACCGGCGCACGGGUGAGUAACACGUAUCCAACCUUCCCAUAACUCGGGGAUAGCCUUUCGAAAGAAAGAUUAAUACCCGAUAGUACUUUUUCAAGGCAUCUUGAGAAAGUUAAAGAUUUAUUGGUUAUGGAUGGGGAUGCGUUCCAUUAGAUAGUUGGUGAGGUAACGGCUCACCAAGUCUUCGAUGGAUAGGGGUUCUGAGAGGAAGGUCCCCCACAUUGGUACUGAGACACGGACCAAACUCCUACGGGAGGCAGCAGUGAGGAAUAUUGGUCAAUGGGCGAGAGCCUGAACCAGCCAAGUAGCGUGAAGGAUGAAGGUCCUAUGGAUUGUAAACUUCUUUUAUAGUAGAAUAAAGUGAUCCACGUGUGGAUUUUUGUAUGUAUACUAUGAAUAAGGAUCGGCUAACUCCGUG
rnacentral:rRNA from 1 species